GACGAGCGCUGGCGGCGUGCUUAACACAUGCAAGUCGAACGAUGAUCAGGAGCUUGCUCCUGUGAUUAGUGGCGAACGGGUGAGUAACACGUGAGUAACCUGCCCCUGACUCUGGGAUAAGCGUUGGAAACGACGUCUAAUACUGGAUAUGAUCACUGGCCGCAUGGUCUGGUGGUGGAAAGAUUUUUUGGUUGGGGAUGGACUCGCGGCCUAUCAGCUUGUUGGUGAGGUAAUGGCUCACCAAGGCGACGACGGGUAGCCGGCCUGAGAGGGUGACCGGCCACACUGGGACUGAGACACGGCCCAGACUCCUACGGGAGGCAGCAGUGGGGAAUAUUGCACAAUGGGCGAAAGCCUGAUGCAGCAACGCCGCGUGAGGGAUGACGGCCUUCGGGUUGUAAACCUCUUUUAGUAGGGAAGAAGCGAAAGUGACGGUACCUGCAGAAAAAGCACCGGCUAACUACGUG
rnacentral:rRNA from 1 species